rnacentral:lncRNA from 1 species
CCGUUUAGUAUUAAGGUGAUACACAUCAAUUUGCUAGUCAUGCCAUUGAAGUGUUUGGACAAAAUUUAGCUAGUUGUGAGAUUAAUGCAAUUUACUCACUCUCUGUAAGUUACCAUUAUUUGUUAACUAUUUUAUUGUGUUAUAAGAUUUGAAGAUCAAUAACAAGCUGUUUUCUAAUUUUAAAACUCUCAGCUGGUAUCUGUAAUUUCGAAAAUUUCUAUAAUACAGUCAGAUAUUAUUGGUUUAGUAUAUUUGUUUAUCUUUAUAAUUACACCAUCUGUAAGAAUCCCGGGUUUUGAUUGGUUGAUAGCCAGUGUAUUUUUCACCAAUUUACUGUAAUCAUAUGAAUAUCGUUCAUUUCUUAACGCCGCCGGGGUAUAUACAAAAAGGAUAUACCCUCUCUGCCAUGGUAUUUGCCAAAAAAUACUCUAUCGGACUGGACACUUGUAACCUUAAGAUCAUCAAUGCGUUUUUGAACGUUGACAUUAAGUGUAAUAAAACAUAUAUAGCAUGUUCUUGUGGGAUAUUGCGAAAAAUACCAGUCUUGAGACAUUUAACAUUCUCUCGACUGGUAUUUUUCGCAAAUAAUCCUCCUUAACAUGAUAUAUCUGUUUAAUAUUAUAUUAUUAUUUUUUAGUAAUGAUUGUUACUGUGUGCACUUUAAGGGUUUAUUUGUUAAAGAUAAAGUAUUUUCCUGACUGGGGACAGGCGCAUGCAAAUAGUUUCCAUGGGUGGGGUUAAAUUUUUCUUUUAAUAUAUAGUGUCCCUCUCCCUUUUAACUUAUAUCCUCAGUGUAACCUAAUUACACAAUAACAAUCAGUCCAAAAAAUACAACAUGUACAACUUAAUACAAGAUUUAAGGUUUAUAAAAACACAAGUACAAGCUAUAACAAUACCGUAUAAAAUUU